rnacentral:lncRNA from 1 species
GGGCACCUCUUAAUCAUCGCUAGAAGGCGAGACCAUUUACACUCAUUUCUCUGUGAUCAUAUUAUAUCACUUCCUAGAACUGUCUCUUGUCAUUUUUCUGUUCCCAUUAUAUUGAGGGUAAUAGUCUAAUAGCUAAUAGAAAUUCAGCUCAGGACGGAAUGAUAAGUCGGAAUAUGCUUUUUUAAGCUGUGAUUCUACAUUUUCCACAACCACAUAGGUUCCCUAUCAAAAGCUUCCUUGAAUGGCCAUACUAAUAUAAACCAGCGACUACUCUUGGUUUUAAAAAACGUAUCCUACUUAUGAUUUAGAUAUACAUUAUUUAUCCCUUCCUCUUGAUAAAGCUGUUAAAGAUUAACACUUUGUUCUAAGUUGUGCACGUGUUGUGUUCAAUUGUUCUUGUAAUAUUUUCGGUUCAGAACUAGGGUGUAAAUGUAAUGGUUGUAGCCUAUGCUUCAGGUCAGCCUCCAGGCUUCUUUGACAGACCUGUGACAAGGUCCCUAUCCUCACACACAGACCCAGACAAGGUCCCUAUCCUCACACACAGACCCAGACAAGGUCCCUAUCCUCACACACAGACCCAGACAAGGUCCCUAUCCUCACACACAGACCCAGACAAGGGCAGCCAAUUCAGCAGAUUUCACCCCCAAGCAUGGCCUAUGAGCAUCAGCUGUUCUUGUAAAG